rnacentral:lncRNA from 1 species
UUUAGGUUACCUAUUAAUCGUAUGGGCUUCUGAGAGUCAAUGGAUAAUUAUUCCCUGACAGCCCAUGAGCAAAGAGCCCAGAAAACUUUGAUCCAGCAGGCGAUUAAAACAACCUGAUAGCUAUCCAACUCUUUAUAGAGUUUGUUUCUAAGUAAAAUCAGACCUUGCAGUCCCAUCUUUAUCUGGAAUACUUGUGAUCAGCCCGAAUUAAAAGCAAACAUUGUUACUGUUUAGUCUUUAAAUAAAAGUUCACGAAGUCCCAAUCGGUAUUGCAAACAACGGGAGAAAACCAUAAGAAGAAAAAAAGACUGCUGCAACACAUCAAGAGGUUUCAGACUUUUUUUGUCUUUUUCCUCUUUUUUUUCUCUGCAACACCAAGUUUCUUGUGUCCUUAUUUUUUUCUUUUCUUCCAAUCUCCAACAAAGUGGCGUCAGCCACCUCCUUCUUUUUUUUUUUUUUUUUGCUUUGACUUUUCUCCUUCUUUUUUAUGACUGUAGCAAACCUCUUUUUUUUUUUUUUUUUUUUUAUUGUCAUACAUCAUGAUUUGUAUUUUGGUUGUUUGCUAAGAAACCAACAGAUGGGGGAUUCAAUGCAUGGGCUGCCCCAACGUGGCCCUUCCCAAGUUCUGCUCCUUUUAACCCAGCGAAGUGGCGUACAGCCACCUUCUUUCCUUUUCUUUUUUUUUUCAAAGCUGCCAUAUGGAACUGCCAACAAAAACGUGGCCACUCUUUUUUUUAAAAUUUCUUUCACACACCCAGAGCCCAACUAGUUUUAAGUUUUGUUUGUUGUGGCCAACAGUACCUCCGAAGCUUUCUCCCCUUUUCUCUUUCGACAGGAGUCUUCCUUCUUCUUUGUUAUUUGCUGCUGCUAUCUACAGCAUCGGGCCGAGCCACAGCCAACAUGGUUGUCUUCCUUUUCAAGAACAGUUUAUUUUUUAUUUGCUGUGAGAUUAAACCCUCAGUGAUUUUGUUUGUGGGUUUUGUACCCAAAUUGGAUUUGUGCUCUUGAGAACUCACUGAAUGAGUUUUAUGCCCAAAAAUGGAUAUACCAUUCAGGGAAUUUGAUGUCUUUUUCUUUUUGUUUUCAGUGGCUGUCUUUUUUUUGUUUGUUAUUGCUAUAUACAACACCAAGCCCUCCUCCCGAAACGGGGCUGUUUUCCUGCUUUAAUUUUUUCUUGUCUGUUGUGAUUGUGUGCCCAACAAGAGGAUCAUCUAAGAGAGAGAGAGAGAGAGAGAGAGAGAGAGAGAGAGAGAGAGAGAGAGAGAGAGAGGCUGUGACAGAAAAACAUUUCCUCUAUUUCCUUUCCCCCUUUUUUUUUUUUACAGAUCUCCAUUUUUUCUCUGCCUAUUCUUUUCUUCAUGACUAACAUCCUUUACAUUUUUUUUUGAUGUAGUUUGCUCAGAGAGAAAAAUAAAGGCCUUCUUAAGCAGAGAUGGAGAGGAGUGGUGAGAGAGCCCAAGAGGUAGUUCACGCUCUCUUUUUUCUGUACAUUUUUGGAAUUAACCCUCCAAACACCAUUUCCAUUUCAAAGGAUUUCCUUUUGCUCGGCAGAGCUUUGUUAAACAGGAAUCCUCUCAUGGAUUUGUUGUUCAUGAUUUAAGGGUUGCCACCCAUUAUGGAUUUAUCAUCCAAGAGUUUUAUUUGAGGGUUGCCACCCAAUAUGGAUUCAUCAUCCAAGAAAAAUGAUUUGAGGGUUGCCACCCAACAAGAAUUAAUUGACAGAAUCCAUAUACCUGUGAAAAUGUCUUCUCUUGUAUUUGUGCUCCUCCAAUUUUUCUUCUGCAGCAGUUUUCUUCUUCUGUCCCUUUUCUCCUUUUCUUUAUUUUCUUUUUUAGUGCAGAAUACUUAUACUGAAAACUGAAUAAUCAACUCCCCCAAAAAUAGGAGCCACUAAACUCUCUUAAACGUUUUCAUUGGUUUAGACCCCCACCUUUUUCCAAACUUCCCCCCCUCCCCCCACCAAUCCAAUCCCACGUUCCAAUAUUUUUUGUGAUUUUUGUGAUUUUUUUAUUCCAACAAGAACGAACUUCGUACGAACCUGAAUUGUCCAAUUUCAUGGACCAAUUGAUGUCGGAU